rnacentral:rRNA from 1 species
UACGGGGGGGGCAAGCGUUGUUCGGAAUUACUGGGCGUAAAGGGCGCGUAGGCGGCCAUCUAAGUCAGACGUGAAAUCCCUCGGCUCAACCGAGGAACUGCGUCUGAUACUGGAAGGCUUGAAUCCGGGAGAGGGAUGUGGAAUUCCAGGUGUAGCGGUGAAAUGCGUAGAUAUCUGGAGGAACACCGGUGGCGAAGGCGGCAGCCUGGACCGGUAUUGACGCUGAGGCGCGAAAGCUAGGGGAGCAAACGGG